AACGAACGCUGGCGGCAGGCCUAACACAUGCAAGUCGAACGCCCCGCAAGGGGAGUGGCAGACGGGUGAGUAACGCGUGGGAACCUACCCAGUGGUACGGAACAACCCAGGGAAACUUGGGCUAAUACCGUAUACGCCCCCAGGGGGAAAGAUUUAUCGCCAUUGGACGGGCCCGCGUUGGAUUAGCUAGUUGGUGGGGUAAUGGCCUACCAAGGCAACGAUCCAUAGCUGGUCUGAGAGGAUGAUCAGCCACACUGGGACUGAGACACGGCCCAGACUCCUACGGGAGGCAGCAGUGGGGAAUCUUGGACAAUGGGCGCAAGCCUGAUCCAGCCAUGCCGCGUGAGUGAAGAAGGCCCUAGGGUUGUAAAGCUCUUUCGGCGGGGACGAUAAUGACGGUACCCGCAGAAGAAGCCCCGGCUAACUCCGUGCCAGCCGCCGCCGUAA
rnacentral:rRNA from 1 species